rnacentral:rRNA from 1 species
UACGUAGGGGGCAAGCGUUGUCCGGAAUCAUUGGGCGUAAAGCGCGUGUAGGCGGCUUGAUAAGUCUGCUCUGAAAGCCCGGGGCUCAACCCUGGGAGGCGGGUGGAUACUGUCGAGCUCGAGUCCGGAAGAGGCGAGUGGAAUUCCUGGUGUAGCGGUGAAAUGCGCGAUAUCAGGAAGAACACCAGUGGCGAAGGCGGCU